GUGUCAGCAGCCGCGGUAAGACGAACCGUCCAAACGUUAUUCGGUAUCACUGGGCUUAAAGCGUUCGUAGGCGGCCUAGUAGGUGAGAUGUGAAAGCCCACGGCUCAACCGUGGAACAGCGUUUCAAACCACUAGGCUCGAGGAUGGCAGGGGUAAUGGGAACUGAUGGUGGAGCGGUGAAAUGCGUUGAUAUCAUCAGGAACACCGGUGGCGAAAGCGCAUUACUGGGCCAUUUCUGACGCUGAGGAACGAAAGCUAGGGUAGCGAACGGGAUUAGAUACCCCGGUAGUCCUAGCCGUAAACGAUGAGCACUGGGUUGAGGGGACUUCCACAUCUUCUCGGCCGUAGCGAAAGCGUUAAGUGCUCCGCCUGGGGAGUAUGGUCGCAAGGCUGAA
rnacentral:rRNA from 1 species